GGUAAGAUUAACCCCUAGGCAGACGGCCAUCACAAAGGCCCAUGUUCCACUUAGGUCCCUGCUAAGAUCCAGUUUGAAAGUUUAGUGGGACUAAAAUUGUUCAUAGGGCAUUUUACUGUACCCCUGCCAACAGGUGAAUUUGAAAUAUAAGGUCCUGACAGGAAACAUGCUGGAGAAAAUGGAAUGAUUCCGAUUGUCUUCAAAAGGAAUUGGAUCUGACCCAGUGAGAAUGGAGAUGGUGAGAAUGCCGAAAAAUGGCUCCCUCCUUCCUAGCAGGUUUACAAUGAAGGACCCAAUGCACCUGGCCAUGACCAGUAUGAAUUGAAAGGCCCAAACUGGAUUCCUUCCAUCAGUGCCAGUUGUGCUAUUGAUGCCGCUCAGAAUCACCUUCACAUUCAUUCUCACUGCAGCCACAAAAAAGUCAGUAAAAUGACACAAGGAAUGCAGUUGGCCCAUACAAUAUUAAGAUGAAAGAAAGAUGAAGAGUGCAACGUGCACGUCACACCCUCUGAGGCUGAGAUUGGCCCAAUGAUCAAAGCCCCUGAGGAAAACAGCUCCAUCCAAAGGAGGACAUAGCAAGGCAAUCAAGUUUGUUUGGCAACUAAUUAGGACCUCCAUCACAAACAGCAUCGCAGAUCCUCCAGGCAGUCCUAGGAACUGUAUAAAAGUGCUCAUAACUCAGGGCUCUUCUAAUCAUUUCUCCAGACUUCAUCUCCUCGAAAGUAAAAGAUGCCCCCGAAGAAGCCUUCAGGUGCUCAGUAGAGGAGCAAAAACUUAAGUUACAAUCUAAUUUGCAGAAAGGGGCAAAUUUGAUGGUAAAAUAUCUGAAACAGAACGACCAGGACCGGGCAUUAGCCAUCAUCCCAGUGCAGAAGAAAUUGAGGAGCGAAGCAUAAAUGAGGAAAGUCCUAUUACUAAGGAAUGAGCAGAUGUAGCUGAAGAUAAGGAAUGCAAAUGUGAGGAAAGUGAUGGAGAAUCAUCCCGUUUUCCUGGCAGAAUAAAGGAGAGUGAUGAUAAUUA